rnacentral:rRNA from 1 species
UACGGGGGGGGCAAGCGUUGUUCGGAAUUACUGGGCGUAAAGCGCACGUAGGCGGACUAUUAAGUCAGGGGUGAAAUCCCGGGGCUCAACCCCGGAACUGCCUUUGAUACUGGUAGUCUCGAGUCCGGAAGAGGUGAGUGGAAUUCCGAGUGUAGAGGUGAAAUUCGUAGAUAUUCGGAGGAACACCAGUGGCGAAGGCGGCUCACUGGUCCGGUACUGACGCUGAGGUGCGGAAAGCGUGGGGAGCAAACAGG